rnacentral:lncRNA from 10 species
CAUAUUUCCAGCUAUAAUCCAUCAUAUUUCCAGGUGUAUCCCUUCCCUUAAAAGUAAAAAAGGAGAAAAUCACUUUGCUGUGUGGAAGUGCUUUGUGUGUUUUAUAAAAUCCACAUAAAAUGUUCGUGGUUCAAGGAGUGGCUGCCGCAUUUCUAAGGCAAAUAAGCUUAUCCCUGAAGAAGCUUGAAGAUCUGACUCUCAAGAAUCUUUGUGUUCUGGAUGAAAAAGGAAUCAUUAUUUUUUAACUCCCCUGCUCAAGUCAGUGACUUCCACUGGCACCCAAUCCAUUGGUUAUAAGUACCCAUGAAUUGCCUUGCCAAUUAUAGGCAGGAUAACCUAGGAGGACCAACCAAAACCAAACUCCUGGUAAGCUUUAUUAGCCUUUUCUACAAUGUGUCUCAGUUUCUCUUUCACACCUUGGAGUGGAAGACAAUCUCUACUCACACUGUUGUGGUAUGUGUCUGUCUGUCUCAGAUGUGUGUAUAAGGUGUAUUUCUCAGCUCGGUAUCUGAAGUAAUUUCUUUUUCUUUUCUUUUUUUUAAAGACUGCUGUCUUAAGGCUUAAAAGUAAUUUAAGGUUUUGUUUUUUGUUAUUUUAAGAGUUGCAGUUUCUUUGGAGACAACAAAGUACUUUUUUUCCAAAGAUGAAAAAGGCAUAUUCAGACUUUCUAUGUUAUGUUCCAUAAUUGUUUUGCUUAUCACUGUAUAACAUUCUCAUUAUCAUGGGCUACUUUAAGCUAAUCAGUUGCAUUUUGGGGUCCUCAUUUAGAAGUCAAUCUGGAAAAAAGAUGGCUGUAAAACUUAGAUAAACCAGUAUGCUAUUUCUCCUUCCUUGUCUGCCUUUACAGAUGUUUCCUCUUUCUCUCUCUCUUCCCUGACUAUCUCUCUCAAUGAUCAUUGACAGCUCCCGCAUCCCCUCUUUCACUCAGCUUCACUCCACCAUGACCAGAGCACCUCUCCUGCUACUAUGUGUUGCCCUGGUGCUGCUUGGGCAUGUGAAUGGAGCCACAGUAAGAAAUGAGGACAAAUGGAAGCCACUCAACAACCCCAGAAACAGAGAUCUGUUUUUCAGAAGGCUUCAGGCAUAUUUUAAGGGCAGAGGUCUUGAUCUUGGAACAUUUCCAAAUCCUUUCCCCACGAAUGAAAAUCCUAGACCUCUCUCUUUCCAGUCAGAACUUACUGCUUCUGCAUCUGCAGAUUAUGAAGAGCAGAAAAACUCCUUUCACAAUUAUCUCAAAGGCUGAAAGUUUCUUCUGAGCUCAGGUGUCUGGCUAUUUUAAAACUACAGAUGAAGCUUCUCAUUAGAAAAAUUCAACCAUUGUCAUAGCUAAACUUUCAUGGAGUUUCUUUCCCCCUCACUUUUAUUUUUCAGUUUGUAAUGAUUUUAUUCCACAUUUCCAUAUUUACAUAUAAAUCGCUGGAACUAUGAUUUCUAUGCAUAUUUAUGGAGUUUUUUUCCUAUGAAACCAUAAAUAUUGAUGUAGAGCACCGCAUGUAUUUGUAGGAGUUACAAAAACAUCACAAACUGAAAAAAGAUUAUAAUCUAAAUUAGAUGUUUCUUUAAGCUUGUUUUUAAAACUUGUCUUUUAUGUUUAUUAUCUUUUAUCGACCAAUAUAUUUUUUUAAAGGGACAUGCUCACUUUUAGUAUAGUAAAAUUCAUUAUAUGUGA